GACGAACGCUGGCGGCGUGCUUAACACAUGCAAGUCGAACGGAAAGGCCCUGCUUGCCGGGUACUCGAGUGGCGAACGGGUGAGUAACACGUGGGUGAUCUGCCCUGCACUUCGGGAUAAGCCUGGGAAACUGGGUCUAAUACCGGAUAGGAGCCAUUUUUAGUGUGAUGGUUGGAAAGUUUUUUCUGUGUAGGAUGAGCUCGCGGCCUAUCAUCUUGUUGGUGGGGUAAUGGCCUACCAAGGCGGCGACGGGUAGCCGGCCUGAGAGGGUGGACGGCCACAUUGGGACUGAGAUACGGCCCAGACUCCUACGGGAGGCAGCAGUGGGGAAGAUUGCACAAUGGGCGCAAGCCUGAUGCAGCGACGCCGCGUGGGGGAUGACGGCCUUCGGGUUGUAAACUCCUUUCGCUAGGGACGAAGCUUUUUGUGACGGUACCUAGAUAAGAAGCACCGGCUAACUACGUG
rnacentral:rRNA from 1 species